AUUGAACGCUGGCGGCAGGCCUAACACAUGCAAGUCGAACGCGUGGCGGACGGGUGAGUAAUAUCUGGGAAACUGCCUGCUGGAGGGGGAUAACUACUGGAAACGGUAGCUAAUACCGCAUACCAGCGGAUGUGCCCCGAUGGGAUUAGCUAGUAUGUGGGGUAAAGGCUCACCUAGGCGACGAUCCCUAGCUGGUAUGAGAGGAUGACCAGCCACACUGGAACUGAGACACGGUCCAGACUCCUACGGGAGGCAGCAGUGGGGAAUAUUGCACAAUGGGCGAAAGCCUGAUGCAGCCAUGCCGCGUGUAUGAAGAAGGCCUUCGGGUUGUAAAGUACUUUCAGCGGGGAGGCGUUACCCGCAGAAGAAGCACCGGCUAACUCCGUGCCAGCAGCCGCGGUAAUAC
rnacentral:rRNA from 1 species